CAGUCGCCACGGUAAGACGGAGGAUGCAAGCGUUAUCCGGAAUGAUUGGGCGUAAAGCGUCUGUAGGUGGUUUAUUAAGUCUACUGUUAAAGAUCAGGGCUUAACCCUGAGUCGGCAGUAGAAACUAAUGAGCUUGAGUACGGUAGGGGCAGAGGGAAUUCCCGGUGUAGCGGUGAAAUGCGUAGAGAUCGGGAAGAACACCAAUGGCGAAAGCACUCUGCUGGGCCGAAACUGACACUCAGAGACGAAAGCUAGGGGAGCGAAUGGGAUUAGAUACCCCCGUAGUCCCUGUCUCUUAUAC
rnacentral:rRNA from 1 species